UGUUUUUGUUUUUUCGCUUAGAAUACGCAAUCGGCAAUUUUCGUUUUUCAAGUCGUCGGGUAUGCAAUAUACAACUUCGUGAAACGAAGCAACUAAGAAUACAAGUUAAAUUUUUGCUAUGCCUUGUUUGAAAUGGGUUUUAUUUUUUUAUUGCUAUAAUUUUAGCUAAGACAUUAGAGAAAAAAUGCAUUUAAUAAGUGAAUUUGUCGUUUUCGGUGCGUUUCGUUGCGUUGUUUUCGGUGCGUUUUCGUUUUGUAAAAUUGUCGCAAUAUUAACAGAACUCUCGGUGACGUUGCAUUUUCGGCUAAAUAAAUACUGGCGCUAAUAUUGCGUUCGCAGAGAGUGCGUGAGAAAACUUAAAAACAAAUUACAAAUAUUAUCGAAAUAAUUGAGCAGGCACUGCUACGACUUUAAAAGCUCAAGAGCCAUCAAUUUCUGGCCGUAAGGAUCCAUUAACUUGAAGCCGCGAUCUAAAUCGUUACCCGCUGAGCCAGGACCGUUAGCUUCGUAAUCCUUAAAGAAUUCUUCCAACUAUGCAGAAAUCACAAACUCAAAGCUCCUCACCACAUAUUGUUAAGUUCAGCAAGCAUGGCUUUUUAUGUGUCACCUAUGCUCAGAUAAGCCACUUAUCACAAAUGUAUGUUUGAAGGCAUAUAUCGUCAAUUCGUUGCAAAUUUAGACAAAAUUUCUCUUAAGAACUGGAA